rnacentral:rRNA from 1 species
GGGAUUGCCCCAGUAACGGCGAGUGAAGCGGCAGCAGCUCAAAUUUGAAAUCUGGGGUCCCCGACCUCCGAGUUGUAAUUUGGAGAGGCAUCUUCGGGGGGGAGCGCCGGCCCAUGUUCCUUGGAACAGGACGUCGCAGAGGGUGAGAAUCCCGUGCCAGGCCGGCUGCCUCCUCCCGGGUGAAGGGCCUUCGACGAGUCGAGUUGUUUGGGAAUGCAGCUCCAAGUGGGUGGUAAAUUUCAUCUAAAGCUAAAUACCGGCGGGAGACCGAUAGCGCACAAGUAGAGUGAUCGAAAGAUGAAAAGCACUUUGAAAAUAGAGUCAAAAAGUACGUGAAAUUGUUGAAAGGGAAGCGCUUGAGACCAGACUCAGGCCCUGGCAAACAUCGCGCCCCUCGGGGCCGUGCAAUUGCCCGGGCCUGGGCCAGCAUCAGUUGGCGUGGCGGGACAAAGGCGCGGGGAAUGUGGCUCCCCUCGGGGAGUGUUAUUAGGCCCGUGCUGGAUGCCGCCGACGCCGACUGAGGACCGCGCCUCGGCUAGGAUGCUGGCUUAAUGGCCUUCAGCGACCCGUCUUGAAACACGGACCAAGGAGUCUAACAUCUAUGCGAGUGUUUGGGCGCCAAACCCUUGCGCGGAAUGAAAGUGAGCGGAGGUGGGAACCCCCCUGCGGGGCGCACCAUCGACCGAUCCUGAUGUCU